GUAAGGUAGUGGCCUACCAAGGUUAUUACGGGUAACGGGGAAUCAGGGUUCGAUUCCGGAGAGGGAGCCUGAGAAACGGCUACCACAUCCAAGGAAGGCAGCAGGCGCGCAAAUUACCCAAUCCAGACACUGGGAGGUGGUGACGAGAAAUACCGGGUCGUGCCCAAAAGGUUUCGACACUGGAAUGGGUGGAAUUUAAGAAUUUCCACGAGUAGCAACUGGAGGGCAAGUCUGGUGCCAGCAGCCGCGGUAAUUCCAGCUCCAGUAGUGUAUCUUAAAGUUGCUGCGGUUAAAACGCUCGUAGUUGGACAAGAGAGCGAUCAGGUGCGGGCGGGGAGUAAGCCUACCCUGUACUAGCUGGGAUGGCUGGUUGACAUUAACGUGUCAGUCGGUUGUCCAUUCGCUAGACAGGAGUACUACUUGUCGACCAUGCUGCCUGGUCGCUUGUUUGAUCGUGAGAAUGUCAUAUGGCCUUAAAUGUGCUGUGUGACGUGUCUUACGUAGUGUGCCUUGAAUAAAUCAGAGUGCUCAAAGCAAGCUUACGCUUGAAUGUUAAUAGCAUGGAACGAAUGUUUUGUGAAAGCGUAGGUAGUGGGUUUACUUGUAUUCCUGCUACUUACGCAGCACCAACUCCGAAUCGGAACAUUGGUAGCCGACUUCGGGUGAUGAUUAAGAGGGACAUUUGGGGGCAUUAGUAUUUGGACGCGAGAGGUGAAAUUCUUGGACCGUCCAAGGACUAACAAGUGCGAAAGCAUUUGCCAAGUAUGUUCCCUUUAAUCAAGAACGAAAGUGAGAGGUUCGAAGACGAUCAGAUACCGUCCUAGUUCUCACCGUAAACGAUGCCAACCCGGGAUCAGCUCGGAUGUAAAUUUUUGGAUCCAG
rnacentral:rRNA from 1 species